GGGAGAGUGGCAAACGGGUGAGUAACACGUGGGUGACCUGCCCCAAAGUGGAGAAUACCCACUGGAAACGGUGGCUAAUACUCCAUGUGGUCUACCGGUCAAAGGUAGAUUAAAGCUCCGGCGCUUUGGGAGGGACCUGCGGCCCAUCAGGUAGUUGGUAGGGUAACGGCCUACCAAGCCUAUGACGGGUAGGGGGCGUGAGAGCGUGAUCCCCCACACUGGCACUGAGACACGGGCCAGACUCCUACGGGAGGCAGCAGUGAGGAAUAUUGCGCAAUGGGCGAAAGCCUGACGCAGCAACGCCGCGUGGGCGAUGAAGGCCUUCGGGUUGUAAAGCCCUUUUCUGGAGGAAGAGGAAGGACGGUACUUCAGGAAUAAGUCACGGCUAACUACGUGCCAGCAGCCGCGGUAAUACGUAGGUGGCAAGCGUUAUCCGGAUUCACUGGGCGUAAAGCGCGUGCAGGCGGUUCCGUAAGUCGGACGUGAAAGCUCCUGGCUUAACUGGGAGAGGUCGUUCGAUACUGCGGGACUUGAGGUCGGGAGAGGGACGUGGAAUUCCCGGUGUAGUGGUGGAAUGCGUAGAUAUCGGGAGGAACACCAGUGGCGAAGGCGGCGUCCUGGCCCGUACCUGACGCUGAGACGCGAAAGCGUGGGGAGCGAACGGGAUUAGAUACCCCGGUAGUCCACGCCGUAAACGGUGGAUACUAGGUGUUGGUGGCUAUCGUCAUCAGUGCCGUAGCUAACGCGUUAAGUAUCCCGCCUGGGGACUACGGCCGCAAGGCUAAAACUCAAAGGAAUUGACGGGGGCCCGCACAAGCAGCGGAGCGUGUGGUUUAAUUCGAGGCAACACGAAGAACCUUACCUGGGUUUGACAUGUACGUGGUAGUGAAGUGAAAGCGGAUCGACCCUUCGGGGAGCGUACACAGGUGCUGCAUGGCUGUCGUCAGCUCGUGCCGUGAGGUGUUCGGUUAAGUCCGGUAACGAGCGCAACCCUCGCUGUUAGUUACAAGUGUCUAACGGGACUGCCGGUUAAUGCCGGAGGAAAGUGGGGAUGACGUCAAGUCAGCAUGGCCCUUAUACC
rnacentral:rRNA from 1 species